rnacentral:rRNA from 1 species
UACGUAGGGUGGCAAGCGUUGUCCGGAUUUACUGGGCGUAAAGGGCGUGCAGGCGGUCUGUUAAGUCUAGGGUGAAAGCUCCCGGCUCAACUGGGAGAGGUCCUUGGAUACUGGCAGACUUGAGGGAGGUAGAGGAAAAGUGGGAAUUCCCGGUGUAGUGGUGAUAUGCGUAGAUAUCGGGAGGAACACCAGUGGCGAAGGCGGCUAUCUGGACAGAAACUGACGCUGAGGCGCGAAAGCUAGGGGAGCAAACAGG